UACGUAGGGAGCAAGCGUUGUUCGGAUUUACUGGGCGUAAAGGGCGCGUAGGCGGCAAUUCAAGUCAUCUGUGAAAUCUCCGGGCUUAACUCGGAACGGUCAGAUGAUACUGUUUUGCUAGAGUGCAGAAGGGGCAAUCGGAAUUCUUGGUGUAGCGGUGAAAUGCGUAGAUAUCGGGAGGAACACCUGAGGCGAAGGCGGGUUACUGGGCUGAUACUGACGCUGAUGCGCGAAAGCCAGGGGAGCAAACGGG
rnacentral:rRNA from 1 species